rnacentral:rRNA from 1 species
GCUUGUGGCCACACCGCCUUGAGUAUGCCCAAUCUCAUCUGAUCUUGGAAGCUAAGCAGGGUCAGGUUUGAUUGGUACUUAGAUGGGAAACCACCUGGGAACACCAGGUGCUGUAAGCU